rnacentral:misc_RNA from 1 species
CAAUAAGUGUUCAAUGGCACUUUAAAAUCCAUUACCCACCUUGUGUGCAAUGUAAGGAGGAGGGGUGUUGUGACACCCCUCUUUCAUUAUACAUACCAAUCUUCUCUUGUUGUCUAACUUUUUGAGUAUAAAAAACUCGAAUA